GGGGACCUUCGGGGCCCUAUAACCCGGGUCGCAAGACCCGCAGCAGACGGAAGACAGAA
rnacentral:ncRNA from 1 species